GCAUACGGCCACAUGACCCUGAACACGCCCGAUCUCGUCUGAUCUCGGAAACUAAGCAAGGUCGGGCCUGGUUAGUACUCGGAUGGGAGACCGCCUGGCAAUACCAGGUGCUGUAGGCU
ensembl:rRNA 5S_rRNA 5S ribosomal RNA